AACGAACGCUGGCGGCAGGCCUAACACAUGCAAGUCGAACGCUCUAGCAAUAGAGAGUGGCGCACGGGUGCGUAACGCGUGGGAAUAUGCCCUUGACUACGGAACAACGUCGGGAAACUGACGCUAAUACCGUAUAAUGUCUUCGGACCAAAGAUUUAUCGGUCAAGGAUUAGCCCGCGUCUGAUUAGCUAGUUGGUGAGGAAACGGCUCACCAAGGCGACGAUCAGUAGCUGGUCUGAGAGGAUGAUCAGCCACACUGGGACUGAGACACGGCCCAGACUCCGACGGGAGGCAGCAGUGAGGAAUAUUGGACAAUGGAGGCAACUCUGAUCCAGCCAUGCCGCGUGAGUGACGAAGGCCUUCGGGUUGUAAAGCUCUUUCAGAUGCGAAGAUAAUGACGGUAACAUCAGGAGAAGCCCCGGCUAAAUUCGUGCCAGCCGCCGCCGUAA
rnacentral:rRNA from 1 species